rnacentral:rRNA from 1 species
UGGGGAAUUUUGGACAAUGGGGGCAACCCUGAUCCAGCCAUUCCGCGUGAGUGAAGAAGGCCUUCGGGUUGUAAAGCUCUUUUGUCCGGAACGAAACGGGGUAACGUGAAUAUCGUUGCCUACUGACGGUACCGGAAGAAUAAGCACCGGCUAACUACGUGCCAGCAGCCGCGGUAAUACGUAGGGUGCGAGCGUUAAUCGGAAUUACUGGGCGUAAAGGGUGCGCAGGCGGUUUUGUAAGCCAGAUGUGAAAGCCCCGGGCUCAACCUGGGAAUGGCAUUUGGGACUGCAAGGCUAGAGUGUGGCAGAGGAGACUGGAAUUCCUGGUGUAGCAGUGAAAUGCGUAGAUAUCAGGAGGAAUACCGAUGGCGAAGGCAGGUCUCUGGGCUAACACUGACGCUCAUGCACGAAAGCGUGGGGAGCAAACAGG